rnacentral:rRNA from 1 species
AUUGAACGCUGGCGGCAGGCCUAACACAUGCAAGUCGAACGAGUGGCGGACGGGUGAGUAAUGUCUGGGAAACUGCCUGAUGGAGGGGGAUAACUACUGGAAACGGUAGCUAAUACCGCAUACCAUCGGAUGUGCCCAGAUGGGAUUAGCUAGUAGGUGGGGUAAAGGCUCACCUAGGCGACGAUCCCUAGCUGGUCUGAGAGGAUGACCAGCCAAACUUGAAACGGGAAAAGGUCCAGGCUCCGUCGUGAGGCAGAAGGGGGGAAUUGUGCACAAGUGGGUGAAGGCUGAUGCAGCCAUGGCGGGUGGAUGAAGAAGGCCUUCGGGGUGGAAAGGACUUUCAGCGGGGAGGCGUUACCCGCAGAAGAAGCACCGGCUAACUCCGGGCCAGCAGCCGCGGUAAUAC